rnacentral:rRNA from 1 species
AACGUAGGAGACAAACGUUAUCCGGAGUUACUGGGCGUAAAGCGCACGUAGGCGGACUGGAAAGUUGGGGGUGAAAGCCCAGGGCUCAACCCUGGAACUGCCUUCAAAACUCCCAGUCUUGAGGUCGAGAGAGGUGAGUGGAAUUCCGAGUGUAGAGGUGAAAUUCGUAGAUAUUCGGAGGAACACCAGUGGCGAAGGCGGCUCACUGGCUCGAUACUGACGCUGAGGUGCGAAAGCGUGGGGAGCAAACAGG